rnacentral:rRNA from 1 species
AUACGGAGGGUGCGAGCGUUAAUCGGAAUUACUGGGCGUAAAGCGUACGUAGGCGGUUGGUUAAGUUAGAUGUGAAAGCCCCGGGCUUAACCUGGGAACUGCAUUUAAAACUGACGAACUAGAGCUGAGUAGAGGGGAGUGGAAUUUCAGGUGUAGCGGUGAAAUGCGUAGAGAUCUGAAGGAACACCAGUGGCGAAGGCGACUCCCUGGACUCGAACUGACGCUGAGGUAUGAAAGCGUGGGUAGCAAACGGGAUUAGAAACCCUAGUAGUCC